UCACCUCGCGCGGGAGAGCCGUGCGUCGACGCGUUCCGAUCCCGCUGGCCGGUCACGGUCACCCGGGGUCGGUUGCGUGGUGACGUGCGGCGCCGAAGGAGCAAACCUCCCCGGAAACUCUCAGGCACCAGGACCGCGCGAGGCAG
rnacentral:ncRNA from 2 species